rnacentral:rRNA from 1 species
UACAGAGGGUGCAAGCGUUAAUCGGAAUUACUGGGCGUAAAGCGUGCGUAGACGGUUAUGUAAGUCGGGUGUGAAAGCCCCGGGCUCAACCUGGGAAUGCCAUUCGAGACUGCAUAGCUAGGGUGCGGAAGAGGGAAGCGGAAUUUCCGGUGUAGCGGUGAAAUGCGUAGAUAUCGGAAGGAACACCAGUGGCGAAGGCGGCGUUCUGGACUGUAACUGACACUGAAAGACGAAAGCCAGGGGAGCAAACGGG